rnacentral:lncRNA from 1 species
AAAGAUAUUCAUAUGACAUACAAAUAAUCUCUCAUACAUUUAACUCAAAAGCAAACACAAGAUAAAUAAUGCCAGGUCAGAGAAGGCAGUGGGUGAUAAUCCGAGCUACUUUAUCCAUUCUUCACUGAAUAAACUUCGAAGGAAUCAAUUCACCGAAUAAAUCAAAUCACUGAGCUUGAGAGACCAGCCUUAUAAAUUGUAGGGCUGACAAACACCAGAUUAUGACAUGUCGGAUUGCACGGAAAUGGACAAUCUAUUUCGUUUACUACUCUGCGAUCGAAAUACCAAUCUCCGACUGCCUCUGCAAUUGUCUGCUAAAAAAUAAAAAAUAAAAAAUAAAAGAAGAAGUAAAAGAACACAAGUAAGCUGGAGUUAGCCAUUCCAUGAAAUGCGAAUAGAAAUAAAUAAUGUUAUUAUCGUGAAAAGUAAAUAAUAAAUGAAAAAAAAUCAACACUACCUACACUAAGAAAAGAGGAGAUGAGCUAGCAACCAUCAUCAGUAGAAACUUUAUAUGAAAAAAAUUCAUGCCAACAGGUUUUUGAUUUGUACGAAGGUCCUGUUAUUUUUGUUCCAUUGAUUCAUUGUAGAGGCCUUAGCAACAAGUAAUUACUAUUGCAAUUGCAAACUAAGAAGUAAGAAUAAUAGUGGUAGGACUGAGGAAACCACAUAAGAGAAUUUGUUUGAACAUUAGAAAGGAGCUUGAUCUGCUAUUAGUCUAGGGCCCUAAACAUUAUCAAAACAGAUUGCUUAUGUAAAAUGAUUUGAAAGCCAGCUUAUAUUUCUCCAAUAUUCUUACAUGCAGAUGUACUGUGAAACCAGGAAGUAGUGCAAACUAUUUACCAAGGUGUUAAGCCUCAUCAUGGUAAAAAAGUGCAGUAGCAUGUGAUUUAUUAAUUACCAGCAUACCAGCUUAGUCUCAAAUUUCUUUUUAUUGUUGACGUAUCAGAUUAUUCUAGAGAAAGAUAUUGAUUUCCUGACUAUAUAGUAUACAAAUAGCUUCGACAACCAAUAACCCUGCUAGCAUGCCAGAAUACAGUAUCAUAUAAUAAUAAGUUCUGUACAAAAGAACUAAAAAAGUUGAAACAACACAAUGAACUAGGACGGUGAUUGCUACCUUAUUGUUGAGUCUGGGAGAAGAUGGCGAGUGCCAGGUGUUAUUAGUCAAUGUUUGACAGUGUACAAAACAAGAAUCUAUGAACAUGCCCCACGCCCUUUUCUUCUUCACUUCACUCAAGGCAUCAAGCAAAUCUGCCCUAAAACCUGUAAAAAGUUCUUUCACUGGUUUUAAGCUUUAAAAUUUAAUAGAUUCAAAAACAGAAAAAAGCAAAUUUUAUGGAAUAUUCCGGCAAAACAACCAACUUAAAUACAGAUAUAUACCCCUGUAAGAUCCACACUUUCAUUUAUGAUGUUGAAAGUGCAGCUCCAUAUAAAAUCACCUCAAAUAGGAGAGUCAUCCAAUUCAAGGGAUGAAGUUGAUUCUGUAUUAGAAAUUACUUUUAGCAGGAGAAUUUUGUAUUUAAGCACAUGUAAUUAAGUUUUAAGGGAUAUUUGAAUAUCCAGAUUUUGCAGGGACNUUGGAGCCCGAUCCAAAUCCCCUCUGGAGAUGGUACCCCGCCGGGCUCCCAUCUAAGCACACUGCAAAAAGCAAAACCCUAACAACUAAGGGCGAAGAUAACAACAACAAAAUUCGACAGCAACAUGAACACACGAAUCAAAUCUCACGUACACGCGCCCUUCUCUUUCGCGUUCUUUAGGAGGGUGAGAUCGACGAGAUCGGCGGAGUCCGAGGAGAAGCUCCGCGGCGCCUCAUCGUCCCGAGGCCACGAGCUGAGGGUGAGGACGAGAGCAGCGGAGACGACCACGAAGGCUCCGGCGGCGGCGGCGGCGGCGGAGAGGCGGCGCCGCCGCCACCAGAGGCGGAGUCGGUGGGCGACCAUGGCUGCGGAAUUUAGGGUUUGGGGGUGAAGUGAGAGGACGCAACGAUCGCGCCAGAGUCGAUCGGAGGAGUCUUAGAUCUGAGGAAGAAGCCGAUUGACUGUUGGAGGCGACUUUCUUCCGCCGCGGCUUUUUCGCACCAAACGGGCCAGUGCUUUUUUAGUAGAAUUCGGCGCCGUGUAACUUCGGUCACCGAGUUUCGUUUUAUUCAGUAGUCGGAUUUCAACCUGGCGUUGCUGCCGAUGCCGAUCUCUGUGCAGGUUCGCCCAAGAAGUCGACAAAAGAUAAACGUUCAUACGCCGUAUUCAAAUAAAACACCAAGGUUUUCUCACUUUAUUUAUUUAUUAUUUAGUUUAUGCUUUGGUGGGUGAUUGCUUGGUUUAUUACUUUUUUAUUUUUUUGGAAGAUGAUUCGCGUAAAAUGAGCAAUCCAAGUUUCAGUAAGAGAUAAUUACUUAUAGACCCCUCAAAACUUCUAAAAAUACUAUUUUUUAUUUCCGAAAACAACUCAAUUUUCAUUCAAACGUAAAAUUGAUCUAAUUUUUAAUUAUACAUGAAUUUAUAGUUAUCCCUGAAAUAAAAAGUGUUUACUUAUAUCCGAACCAAGAGUUCUAACAAUAAGAAAAAUGCAAAGAACUUCUUGUUACAUGUCCAUUCACAGAGUGAUGGCAUGGAGCAUCGGUAGCACGUUCUCGAAUAAUUGAGUACCUUGAAAAUUGCUAAAGAUAUUCAUAUGACAUACAAAUAAUCUCUCAUACAUUUAACUCAAAAGCAAACACAAGAUAAAUAAUGCCAGUUCGGAGCAGGCAGUGGGUGAUAAUCCGAGCUACUUUAUCCAUACUUCACUGAAUAAACUUCGAAGGAAUCAAUUCACCGAAUAAAUCUAAUCACUGAGCUUGAGAGACCAGUCUUAUAAAUUGU